UACAGAGGUGGCAAGCGUUGUUCGGAAUUACUGGGCGUAAAGGGCGCGUAGGCGGUUCGUUAAGUCCUGUGUGAAAUCCCCCGGCUCAACUGGGGAACUGCACAGGAAACUAGCGGGCUUGAGUUCGGGAGAGGGAAGCGGAAUUCCGGGUGUAGCGGUGAAAUGCGUAGAUACCCGGAGGAACACCGGUGGCGAAGGCGGCUCCUGGACCGCACUGACGCUGAGGCGCGAAAGCUAGGGGAGCAAACGGG
rnacentral:rRNA from 1 species